rnacentral:lncRNA from 1 species
UAGUGCUUUCUGCAGUCUAGAGUGUAGGCAACAGCAAAUGAACCAAGAUGAGAGGAAAGAGAAGUGCUCAUUAUUAGCGUCGAAGAAAGAAGUUGUUGCAACCUCCACCACCGCACCAGAAGUCUCCACUAAAGGCGAGACAGUUGCCGCUUUAUAGAGUCACCAGUAACCAGCCCAGAGUGGAAAAUGAUUUCACCCGCUUAAUUCUAUAAAUAUAUAUAAUUUGAAGUUGUAGAAUUAUAUAUAUGUAUAUGCAAGUGGGUUUGCUUCUGCUAGCUUUUGUAUGCAAAUCAAU